rnacentral:rRNA from 1 species
GACGAACGCUGGCGGCGUGCUUAACACAUGAAAGUCGAACGAUAAAACGUAGCUUGCUAGGUCGAUUAGUGGCGAACGGGUGAGUAAAAGUUGAAUAACCUGCCCCUUUCUCUGGGAUAACGCUCGGAAAGGCGUGCUAAUACCGAAUAUUCACAGCGAGGCACGUGCCACGGCGUGGAAGGUAUUUCGGAAAGGGAUGGAGUCGCGGCGUAUAAGCUUGUGGGUGAGGUAACGGAUCACCAAGGCGACGACGGGUAGCCGGCCUGAGAGGGGGACCGGCCACACUGGAACUGAGACACGGCCCAGACUCCUACGGGAGGCAGCAGUGGGGAAUAUUGCACAAUGGGCGCAAGCCUGAUGCAGCGACGCCGCGUGAGGGAUGAAGGUCUUCGGAUUGUAAACCUCUUUCAGUAGGGACGAAGCGAAAGUGACGGUACCUAAAGAAGAAGCACCGGCUAACUACGUGCCAGCCGCCGCGGUAA